rnacentral:tRNA from 1 species
GCACGAGUGGCACAAUGGUUAAGUGCUCGGCUGCCAACCGAAAGGUUGGUGGUUUGAGCCCACCCAGCGGCU